UACAGAGGUCCCGAGCGUUGUUCGGAUUCAUUGGGCGUAAAGGGUGUGUAGGUGGUCUUGUAAGUCGGACGUGAAAUCUCACCGCUUAACGGUGAAACUGCGUUCGAUACUGCUUGGCUAGAGGAUCGGAGGGGGUAUCGGAAUUCAUGGUGUAGCAGUGAAAUGCGUAGAUAUCAUGAGGAACACCGGUGGCGAAAGCGGAUACCUGGAAGAUUCCUGACUCUGAAACACGAAAGCUAGGGGAGCAAACGGG
rnacentral:rRNA from 1 species